GUCAGGAUGGCCGAGUGGUCUAAGGCGCUGCGUUAAGGUCGCAGUCUCCCCUGUAGGCGUGGGUUCAAAUCCCACUUCUGACA
rnacentral:tRNA from 1 species